rnacentral:rRNA from 1 species
UUAAGUCCCGCAACGAGCGCAACCCCUACUGCCAGUUACUAACACGUAAAGGUGAGGACUCUGGCGGAACUGCCGGUGACAAACCGGAGGAAGGUGGGGAUGACGUCAAGUCAUCAUGGCCCUUAUGUCCAGGGCUACACACGUGCUACAAUGGUUGGUACAACGUGAAGCAAAAGUGAAAGCUUAGAGCGAAACACUAAAAACUAACCGUAGUUCGGAUUGAAGUCUGAAACCCGACUUCAUGAAGUUGGAAUCGCUAGUAAUCGCGCAUCAGCAUGGCGCGGUGAAUACGUUCCCGGGCCUUGUACACACCGCCCGUCACACCAUCCGAGUUGGAGGUGCCCGAAGCCGGUAGUCUAACCGUAAGGAGGACGCUGUCGAAGGUACGUUUAGUGAGGAGGGUGAAGUCGUAACAAGGUAGCCGUACUGGAAAGUGCGGCUGGAUCACCUCCUUU